CUGAACUAUACUCCGAGAACGAAAGUUUUUGGUUUUAAUCAAUAACAACUUUCAGCAGUGGAUGUCUAGGCUCGCACAUCGAUGAAGAACGCUGCGAACUGCGAUACGUAAUGCGAAUUGCAGAAUUCAGUGAGUCAUCGAAAUUUUGAACGCACAUUGCACUUUCGGGAUAUUCCUGGAAGUAUGCUUGUAUCAGUGUCCGUACAUCAAACUUGCCUUUCUUUUUUUGUGUAGUCAAGAUUAGAAACGGCAGAAUGUGAGGUGUCUCGCUGGCUCCCUCUUCGGAGGAGAAGACGCGAGUCCCUUUAAAUGUACGUUCGCUCUUUCUUGUGUCUAAGUAGAAGUGUGACUUUCGAACGCAGUGAUCUGUUUGGAUCGCUUUGCGCGAGUGGGCGACUUCGGUUAGGACAUUAAAGGAAGCAACCUCUAUUGGCGGUAUGUUAGGCUUCGGCCCGACUUUGCAGCUGACAGUGUGUUGUUUUCUGUUCUUUCCUUGAGGUGUACCUGUCUUGUGUGAGGCAAUGGUCUGGGCAAAUGGUUAUUGUGUAGUAGAAUUUUGCUGCUCUUGGGCGCCUCACUUGUGGGGUAAAGAAGACAACACCAAUUUGGGACAGUUUGUGGGAUUUAUCUCGCAGGCGCUUU
rnacentral:rRNA from 1 species